UGGAUUCUUUGCGAGAAAUAACGAAGAGUA
rnacentral:piRNA from 1 species